GUCAGCGAUUUGAGCAAAACUGGUCCUGAAUUUUUCCUUUAAUUCAUCUAAUUUUCUUCACGUCAGAGCCGCAAGAGCAACAUCGUCUCUUCAAUAUAUCUUAAUGAACUGGCCCCAACACAGAACUGACAUGCAUAAAGUUCACCAAGGAGGAAGAAACCGACAACAAAC